GAGGGUAUAGCUCAGUGGUGUGUGCUUACCAUGCAUGAGGUCCUGGGUUCAAUUCCCAGUACCUCCA
rnacentral:tRNA from 1 species